GUGGAUCAAGGUAUGGUGAUGAAUUGGAGUUCUAGUUCAUUUACUUUGAGAAAAAUUAGAGUGUUUAAAAGCAGCCUCUUGGGGCACUGAAUACAUUAGCAUGGGAUAAUAGAAUAGGAUCUUUACAAUAUAUUUUAUUGGUUUAAAUUGAAAUAAAGAUAAUGAUUAAUAGGGACAGUUGGGGGUAUUCAUAUUGGGUGGUUAGCGGUGAAAUGCUCGGAUCCAUUCAAGAUGAACUAAAGCGAAAGCAUUUACCAAGGAUGUUUUCAUUAAUCAAGAACGAAAGUUAAGGGAUCGAAGACGAUUAGAUACCGUCGUAGUCUUAACUAUAAACUAUGCCGACCAGGGAUAUGAGUUGUUACGAUUAUAUGAAAGUAUAAUCAAUUUCUUCUUAUGGAUCUUGUGAGAAAUCAUAAGUUAUUAGGUUCUGGGGGG
rnacentral:rRNA from 1 species